rnacentral:rRNA from 1 species
ACGAACGCUGGCGGCGUGCCUAACACAUGCAAGUCGAGCGAGGAGAUUCCUCGGGAUGAUCCUAGCGGCGGACGGGUGAGUAACACGUGGGCAACCUGCCUCAUAGAGAGGAAUAGCCUUCCGAAAGGGAGAUUAAUACCUCAUAACAUUGCAGUUUCGCAUGGAACAGCAAUUAAAGGAGCAAUCCGCUAUGAGAUGGGCCCGCGGCGCAUUAGCUAGUUGGUGAGGUAACGGCUCACCAAGGCGACGAUGCGUAGCCGACCUGAGAGGGUGAUCGGCCACAUUGGGACUGAGACACGGCCCAGACUCCUACGGGAGGCAGCAGUGGGGAAUAUUGCACAAUGGGGGAAACCCUGAUGCAGCCAACGCCGCGUGAGUGAUGACGGCCUUCGGGUUGUAAAGCUCUGUCUUCAGGGACGAUAAUGACGGUACCUGAGGAGGAAGCCACGGCUAACUACGUGCCAGCAGCAGC